GGUGAUGUGCGAGCAGAAUACAGAACGCGGCAUUCGUCAUUACGGGGAAACUAAAACAGAUAGCGCCAACCUUUUGCGCCUCGCGCUUUCACGCGCAAUUUCCGGGAUCCUCCAACGCGUCGAUUCCUCCGUCUUGCGUCCUUCCAUGCCGGGAGCCUUGAUUAUCGAUACAAUUUGUGAUAUAUUGUAUGUUGCGCUGGAGCUCUAAUGCAAACGCUGCGCUUGUGCGUUUACCCCGCUCUGGCAUAGGGCUUGCGUUUUCAUAAUGUUACGCUUUGCAAUACAUACAUAGAAAGGCGCAUUAUUUGCACGACAAAUUUCGCUGCGCUCGGGUUUCAAGGUUAUAACUCAAGUCAAAACAAGUCCAGCUGGCUUGAGGGGGCCGUAGCUCAUCAGCUUUCAAACACAAAAUCGUGUGAUGUGUGCGGGUGGGUGAGGGUGAGUCUGGGCGUGGGGUUGUGGGUAUGUCGCGUGGUAGACCGGCGAGGGCAGGGCACGAGCAGAGCGAGGGCGAGGGAGGAGCGUCGGAAGGGUGCAGGCACGGCGAGAGCGAGGGGUGAGGGCAGGGCAAGGGCAGGGCGAAGGCGAGGGCGGGGCAAGGGCAGGGCGAAGGCGAGGGCAGGGUUAGG
rnacentral:lncRNA from 1 species